rnacentral:rRNA from 1 species
UACGAGGGGGGCUAGCGUUGUUCGGAAUCACUGGGCGUAAAGCGCACGUAGGCGGCUUUUUAAGUCAGGGGUGAAAUGCCAAGGCUCAACCUUGGAACUGCCUUUGAUACUGGGAAGCUAGAGUGUGGUAGAGGUUGGUGGAACUCCGAGUGUAGAGGUGAAAUUCGUAGAUAUUCGGAAGAACACCAGUGGCGAAGGCGGCCAACUGGACCAUUACUGACGCUGAGGUGCGAAAGCGUGGGGAGCAAACAGG